AGUGAACCUGGUGAAGGAGAACCCAGGGUACGCAGGUCACUACGACCUUCUGCUCAUGGUGUUGGACCAGCAGGGUCAGGGAGCCCUCCACAACCUGUCCGUCACCGUGUAUGCCUGCUCUGGUGGCCAGCUGCAGUCUCGGCAGGGCCUCUGGAACCAAGAUUGGAGCGAGGGCUGUAGGGAUUGUCAUCGGUGUCACGCUGCUACUGCAAAGUUUUCUACUGUUGUCCCUCCUGUUGACCAGUAAAAGAGAACUGAAGCUGAUCCCUACAGAUGAAAACUCUGAAGAACGUCAGAUCAAAUCUAACAUUGAGAUCCCAGGAACUGAUUGCAAGGCUGUACAGAGGUCCACCAGUAUGCGAGCACCGGUAUGUUCAGGAUAUUCAGGGUAUUUUUCCUCAUACCAAGAGCAACGGGAACAGUUUCAACAAGGAAUCUCUCUGCGCAAGGUAGGCUCUAUAAGUCUAAUAAAUCUACUACCUUCGUCCACUUUUGACCUGUCAAUUACAUUUUCAGUGGCACUGAACUACAGCAACAUUUUGAAUUUGGUUUCAGAGUGCGCCCACAAAAUUAC